GACGAACGCUGGCGGCGUGCCUAAUACAUGCAAGUAGAACGCACAGUUUAUACCGUAGCUUGCUACACCAUAAACUGUGAGUUGCGAACGGGUGAGUAACGCGUAGGUAACCUGCCUGGUAGCGGGGGAUAACUAUUGGAAACGAUAGCUAAUACCGCAUAAUAUUAAUUAUUGCAUGAUAAUUGAUUGAAAGAUGCAAUUGCAUCACUACCAGAUGGACCUGCGUUGUAUUAGCUAGUAGGUGAGGUAACGGCUCACCUAGGCGACGAUACAUAGCCGACCUGAGAGGGUGGUCGGCCACACUGGGACUGGGACACGGCCCAGACUCCUACGGGAGGCAGCAGUAGGGAAUCUUCGGCAAUGGACGAAAGUCUGACCGAGCAACGCCGCGUGAGUGAAGAAGGUUUUCGGAUCGUAAAGCUCUGUUGUAAGAGAAGAACGGGUGUGAGAGUGGAAAGUUCACACUGUGACGGUAUCUUACCAGAAAGGGACGGCUAACUACGUG
rnacentral:rRNA from 1 species